rnacentral:lncRNA from 1 species
AUGCCCCACCAAUCUGGCUAAGGUAAGAAAAAGAUAUAAAGAGAAAGUUACAGAAAUUUGAAGGGUUAAGCUAAGUUGCUGAGAGUUAGUGUAAGUUGCAGAGAAAGUAAAGUUGAAGUGUGGUUACAUAAGUGGACAGCAUCUAAUAGCUGUAGAGGAAGAUGCAGAAGAUAUGAGAGAGACUGAGGAAGAGAAAGAGGAAAGAAGGUAAAAAGCAGGAAGCUAGGGAAGAAAAGAGACAAAAAGAAGAAGAAGCUAGAGAGCUAAAGAGGGAUAAAAGACAGGAGAGGAACAUAUACUGGCCACAGUAGUUAGAGAACCUAGGAAGACAGUACCUGGCAACAGAAGAGAAUUCCUGGCUAAAGAUCAGUGUGCCUAUUGCAAGGAAAAAGGACACUAGGUCAGGGACUGCCCCAGGAAGAACAAGAGGGGCCUCUCCAGCAGCCCCGAAGGCAAGCCUCUUGGUCGUAGACUGCUGGCUAUGCGCAAAGAUAGAAGGGAAGCCUGCCCAGUUGUUUUGUGAAUACAGGGACCCAACACUCUGUGCUCCUACACCCAAAUGGGCUAGUGUCCAGCAAAAGACCUUGAGUACAGGGGACUACCGGCAACAAAUGUUACUCAUGGACUACCCGAAGAAUGGUGGACCUUGGCAUGGGCCAGGUAUCCCACUUGUUCCUUGUGAUCCCAGACUGCCCCUACGAGUCUGAACCCUGCAACCCUGCUCCCGGACCC